rfam:TPA: Bos taurus chromosome 18, whole genome shotgun sequence.
UCCCUGGUGGUCCAGUGGCUAAGACUCUGUGCUCCCAAUGCAGGCAGCCUAGGUUCAAUUCCUGGGCAGGGAA